rnacentral:rRNA from 1 species
GACGAACGCUGGCGGCGUGCCUAAUACAUGCAAGUCGAACGAACUCUGGUAUUGAUUGGUGCUUGCAUCAUGAUUUACAUUUGAGUGAGUGGCGAACUGGUGAGUAACACGUGGGAAACCUGCCCAGAAGCGGGGGAUAACACCUGGAAACAGAUGCUAAUACCGCAUAACAACUUGGACCGCAUGGUCCGAGUUUGAAAGAUGGCUUCNGCUAUCACUUUUGGAUGGUCCCGCGGCGUAUUAGCUAGAUGGUGGGGUAACGGCUCACCAUGGCAAUGAUACGUAGCCGACCUGAGAGGGUAAUCGGCCACAUUGGGACUGAGACACGGCCCAAACUCCUACGGGAGGCAGCAGUAGGGAAUCUUCCACAAUGGACGAAAGUCUGAUGGAGCAACGCCGCGUGAGUGAAGAAGGGUUUCGGCUCGUAAAACUCUGUUGUUAAAGAAGAACAUAUCUGAGAGUAACUGUUCAGGUAUUGACGGUAUUUAACCAGAAAGCCACGGCUAACUACGUGCCAGCAGCCGCGGUAAUACGUAGGUGGCAAGCGUUGUCCGGAUUUAUUGGGCGUAAAGCGAGCGCAGGCGGUUUUUUAAGUCUGAUGUGAAAGCCUUCGGCUCAACCGAAGAAGUGCAUCGGAAACUGGGAAACUUGAGUGCAGAAGAGGACAGUGGAACUCCAUGUGUAGCGGUGAAAUGCGUAGAUAUAUGGAAGAACACCAGUGGCGAAGGCGGCUGUCUGGUCUGUAACUGACGCUGAGGCUCGAAAGUAUGGGUAGCAAACAGGAUUAGAUACCCUGGUAGUCCAUACCGUAAACGAUGAAUGCUAAGUGUUGGAGGGUUUCCGCCCUUCAGUGCUGCAGCUAACGCAUUAAGCAUUCCGCCUGGGGAGUACGGCCGCAAGGCUGAAACUCAAAGGAAUUGACGGGGGCCCGCACAAGCGGUGGAGCAUGUGGUUUAAUUCGAAGCUACGCGAAGAACCUUACCAGGUCUUGACAUACUAUGCAAAUCUAAGAGAUUAGACGUUCCCUUCGGGGACAUGGAUACAGGUGGUGCAUGGUUGUCGUCAGCUCGUGUCGUGAGAUGUUGGGUUAAGUCCCGCAACGAGCGCAACCCUUAUUAUCAGUUGCCAGCAUUAAGUUGGGCACUCUGGUGAGACUGCCGGUGACAAACCGGAGGAAGGUGGGGAUGACGUCAAAUCAUCAUGCCCCUUAUGACCUGGGCUACACACGUGCUACAAUGGAUGGUACAACGAGUUGCGAACUCGCGAGAGNAAGCUAAUCUCUUAAAGCCAUUCUCAGUUCGGAUUGUAGGCUGCAACUCGCCUACAUGAAGUCGGAAUCGCUAGUAAUCGCGGAUCAGCAUGCCGCGGUGAAUACGUUCCCGGGCCUUGUACACACCGCCCGUCACACCAUGAGAGUUUGUAACACCCAAAGUCGGUGGGGUAACCUUUUAGGAACCAGCCGCCUAAGGUGGGACAGAUGAUUAGGGUGAAG